rnacentral:tRNA from 1 species
ACCCUGGUGGCUCAGACGGUAAAGCGUCUGCCUGCAAUGCGGGAGACCCGGGUUCGAUUCCUGGGUCGGGAA